GAGUGAAAGGCGCGGAGCGGAGGCCGCGGAGGCUCCUCGGUCCUUCAGCACCCCUCGGCCCGACGCACCCACGCCCCUCACCCCCCGAGAGCCGAACGCUCCCCGCACCGCCCCCGGUCCCUUCCCUCGGCCGGGAGCGACUUCUGCAGCUCGUUCUUCCGAAUCGCACCAGCAAUGCCGGCCAGCCGUAGAGGGAGGAAGAGCCCGGGGAGCCCGAGCAUAGCGUAAACGGCUCUCUGACCUUAAUUUCAUCCUGCAUGGCGAAUCUCUGCCGUCUCUCUGAACGCAGAAGGGUCUGAGACUGGCCGUCUCCUUUUCUUUCCUUGUAAUAAACAUUUUUCUUUCUUCCCA
rnacentral:sRNA from 1 species